rnacentral:lncRNA from 1 species
GCUGGAGUCCGAUUGCUAGAGAAGUCCGUUUGAAAUUUGUCUGAUGUAGAAGCUUGUUUGAAGAUUGUCCGCUUGAGAGGUCCGGUUGCAUGAGGAAUUCGACAGAAGGUCGACCGAUAGCAGAAUUUGGAAGGCAUUGUGGAAGUUCGUCCGCUGGAGGAGUCUAGAGGACACUGUGGAAGGUUGACCGCUGGAGGGGUCCGG